GAUGAACGCUGGCGGCGUGCCUAAUACAUGCAAGUCGAGCGAGCGGACGAGAAGCUUGCUUCUCUGAUGUUAGCGGCGGACGGGUGAGUAACACGUGGAUAACCUACCUAUAAGACUGGGAUAACUUCGGGAAACCGGAGCUAAUACCGGAUAAUAUUUUGAACCGCAUGGUUCAAUAGUGAAAGACGGUCUUGCUGUCACUUAUAGAUGGAUCCGCGCUGCAUUAGCUAGUUGGUAAGGUAACGGCUUACCAAGGCAACGAUGCAUAGCCGACCUGAGAGGGUGAUCGGCCACACUGGAACUGGGACACGGUCCAGACUCCUACGGGAGGCCGCAGUAGGGAAUCUUCCGCAAUGGGCGAAAGCCUGACGGAACAACGCCGCGUGAGUGAUGAAGGUCUUCGGAUCGUAAAACUCUGUUAUUAGGGAAGAACAUAUGUGUAAGUUACUGAUCACAGCUUGACGGUACCUAAUCAGAAAGCCACGGCUAACUACGUG
rnacentral:rRNA from 1 species